GUUUUAAUAGUUUAAAUAAAAACAAUGAUUUUGUAAAUCAUAAAUAGAUAUAUCUUUAAAACU
rnacentral:tRNA from 1 species